UGGAGGGAGGGAGAAUGAGGCUGAAUUCAACAAAAUUAGAAGCAGAAAGAGGUCAGUAAUGAUGCCAUGGUGGCCCCAUAGAAUAUCUUUCAUCAAUGUGGUUUAGAGUUCCGCCUUUGCAUCUUAUCUGCAAGACCAGUAUAAUGACAAAUGGUGUGUUGCUAAGUUUCCAUUACAUGUAUUUCUAAAAGAAAAACAACAAUGAUAAAAAUAUCACAAGCACUUGUUGAGAUGCCAGAAAACUAAUUGGUAGUUUCCAAGUUUCAAUGUGCAUGCUAAGAAAAAGACGUGUUUGUUGUCUUCUUGGGAGUAUAUUAAUUGGGAAAAUUAUCUGAAUUAACUAGAUUUUUAUUUAAAUGGAAUGUUUUCAUGUUAUUGCGUGAACUGUUCCAGGUUUCACUAGUAAUUUUAAAGGUUAGCAUCUCACUUUGUAACACUGACUAUGUAUUCGUGUAGAUUUGUGUAAUGAUUUACACAGAUUCACAGUAUAACAUUAAGCAAACGUUAUGUUGCUCCUUCUUGAAUUGGAAACUAAUUUAUUCCUGUAAUAUUAUCUUGUUUUUACUUUAUAUGGAGAUAGUCUCAUUUUAGAAAACAAUCUUGCUCAUAUGCUUCUGUUACUCCAUGAAAUACUAAUUCCUUUGUCUCACCAUGGAGGAAAUGAUUAUCAUUUCUCAUCUGUCUUAAUCUAAGGAGCAUUAGUCUUCUACAGGGGGAAGUUUUCAUGAAGGUGGAUUAGACAGUUUUGCCUUAUAUGUUUGUACUGCCAUUUUAAAAGUAAAUCUUUUAUUUGCAUAAUGAAUAACAAAGUCUAAAUUUUGGAAUCAUUAUUUUCUGACUGCAACAAGAAGUUUCUCUUUUUCCUGGACACUGCUCAAAAGCAUGUUAAGUAUCUCUCUGUUCUUGCUGUAUCAUAUUUAUCAUAUUUCAUUAUCUAAUUUCUAUGAUAUUCUUGUCUCCUAUACAUUAGUAAAAUACUUUUUUUCUUUCUUGCAGUACAUUGGAUUACUUUUCUUCAGCUAACUAUGCUCUCAUAAUGAAUGCAUAAUGUUAGUAUACUCUGUCCUUGACCUUCAGUGGCUCCCAUGGAGAGUAACAUGAAUACUAAUCCUGGCCACGUGGGCCACAGUUUGAAGGUUAUUUACUUAUGGAAUGCAGACAGUGCAACCUCCUAGAACUCCUUCCAUGGGAUGGUUUCAAGGAGGUUUGGACAUCCUGGCUGAAAUUAUUGUAACAUUAUUCUCUACAAAGCCAUGGCAUACACCUCUGUUUCUAAAUUUGGAAAGUUGUUUGGGCCAGGCUGCAAGGCUCAACAAACAGAGCAAAUGAUGUAAUCCCAGAGGGCAAGCUGUCAAAGUUUAAACAAAGUCGGUGCCUGACCCUUAAUCUGAAAAGUCACCAUAUUAUACUUGUAUGUUUAAAUGAGAAAAUGCCUUUCCUUAAAGCCAACCAACCAACCAAUAAAAACUCUUUUAUUUAUGGAGAAUACAGCAUGAAAGAGCAAGGCUAGAUGACACGGGCAUUUUGAAAUUAGUAGCAUUUUUCUGACAUUUGCAGAAGACAAGCAAGACCAUGAUCACAUGCAGUCACAUGACCAGGCAUUCACCAUAUAAACUAUCGUGAAUGAACCCUAUGUGUAUUAAAUAUCUCACAUAACCUGAGAUGAAGUCUUCCUUUUGUAUGAAUGUGAUUGGCAGAUGAGGAAGUGAAUCAGCAGCAGCUCCAACACACUUUCUCCUGAAUGAUGUGAUUUUAAGUUAAAAGAAUGUUUUUUAAAAAAUUUAGGUUCUUUCACAUCUGCAAUAAUAUUACCCUGGCGCUUUUUACUAGCAUGCUAAAAUAUUUUUGUACAAUUUACCUUUAGGUGUCAUACAAUCAGCCAUCUACUAAAAUUUCUCCAGGCUUGAUCUAUAUAUUCUAAUUACAUCACUUCUUUGUAAUGAACUUUGUUAAAAACUAGUAUCACCACACUUUUCAAUUCGAAGACACAGCCACUAUGAGGCAAGAUUGAUUUAAUAGAUUUUGGGAAGAAAAAUUCAUUAAAUGUACCUAUUUAUUGUAGGAUAAAUCAUGAUUUUCUAAGCAUCAAAGUGUGCAGGCAUGUAUCAUCUCAUUAAGGAAAUGCAAUGAAUUAACCGAAUGCCUCAAAACAUAAUGAAUUAAUGUUAGCUAUUGUUAUUGUCUCCCAUAUUUUAUUGCUGUUGUUAUUUUGGUCACAAACACCAGUAUGUACUACAACUGAUUACUCUGCUUGAGGAAUUCGUGAAUUUCUCUCAAUCAAACAAGGUAUUGUAUCAGCAUUUAACUGUUUCUUUACAAGUCACAUAUAUUUGAAUUUUAUAAGCUUUUGAUCUUUAUUCUUAAAUCUCAACAAUUGUCUCCAGUUCAUAUUGCUUAAAUAAUUUUAAAAGGCAAUUUAAAAUCAGCCAUAGGUAGGAGUUAUUUUAUGCUCAAGAGAGUUUGGAUAAUUACAAGAAUUUACACAUUCUACUAUCUCUGGAGCUUUUUAUUCAGUUACAAGUCUGUCACUCUCAUUCUGAAGUAUUUAUGUAUACUCCCUUAAAAUCCCAGGCUUGUAAUAUAAGACUGGGUUCUUUCUCUACUUUCUAGGAGUUCUUCUCUGGGAACUUCAGUUGUUUAAAUAAUCAUUUUUAUGGUCUUACAAAUGCUAUUUUCCCAUGACUUACAGAUGAAUAAAAUUCUGCUUUGGUAAAUUGCUCUUCUAGGUAGCUAGGGGAGAUAGCCCUGCUGCUCUGAGUCUGUGGUUUCCCUGUAUAUCAUAUUCCAAAAAGUCAAAAUCUGAUGUUUAUGUAUUCAUCAUCACCACUUUUAAAUAGAAAAACAAUGAAAUAUGACUUA